CCUACGGGUGGCAGCAGUGGGGAAUAUUGCACAAUGGGGGAAACCCUGAUGCAGCAACGCCGCGUGAGCGAUGAAGGCCUUCGGGUCGUAAAGCUCUGUCCUAAGGGAAGAAUACUUACGGUACCUUAGGAGGAAGCCCCGGCUAACUACGUGCCAGCAGCCGCGGUAAUACGUAGGGGGCUAGCGUUAUCCGGAAUUACUGGGGGUAAAGGGUGCGUAGGCGGCCCUUCAAGUCAGAGGUGAAAGGCUACGGCCCAACCGUAGUAAGCCGUUGAAACUGUAGGGCUUGGGUGCAGGUGAGGCGGGAGGAAUUCGAAGUGAAGCGCUGAAAUCCGUGGAUAUUGGGAGGAAAAACAGUUGCGAAGGCGGGUCUAUGGACUGUCACUGACGAUGAGGGACGAAAGCGUGGGGAGCGAACAGGAUUAGCUACACGUGUAGUC
rnacentral:rRNA from 1 species